rnacentral:rRNA from 1 species
AAAAACGACCAUCCCAGUUCGGAUUGCAGUCUGAAACUCGAGUGCAUGAAGCUGGAAUCGCUAGUAAUCGCAAAUCAGAAUGUUGCGGUGAAUACGUUCCCGGGUCUUGUACACACCGCCCGUCACACCAUGGGAGCUGGUAACACCCGAAGUCAGUAGUCUAACCGCAAGGAGGACGCUGCCGAAGGUGGGAUUAGCGACUGGGGUGAAGUCGUAACAAGGUACC